GAUGUGGUAGGCGCUCCCUUCGCACCUUCUCUUCCUUCUUCUUCGGACCUGUUCCAAGACCUUUCGGGCCUUGAAGGCCGGCGACGGACCUUGAAGGCCGGGGGUCUUGGCGACCGAUAGGGCCUCGAAGGCCGGGACGGUGUGGUUUCGACAGGUUCUCACACGGUUGAGAGACCUAUCGGGCCUGGGACGGGCCUGGAAGCGGGCCUUGGAGGCCGCGGGCCUGGAAGGCCGGCAGGGGCCUUGAAGGCCGGGACGGACGCGCGUCUCUGAGCCGGGCACCGGUGCAUGGGAAAGCGGGGAGUGAAUGGGGAAGCACCGAUGAUGAUAUAUAUGAGUGGGGGGGAGGAGGUAAGAUCCCAAUCGUUUAUACUAUCGAGUAAGAAUCCACUCGAAACGAGGAUGGAGGAGGAGAACUCUCUCUCUCUGGUGAGGGUACCUCAAGUUCUGGAGGUACACUCUUCUAGGACGCCCUAUAGUAGUUCUGGGGGAACGCCCUUCUAGGCAGAUCCUAUGGUAGUUCUGGAGGAGAACCUCUACUUGAGAUGGAACAUA
rnacentral:rRNA from 1 species